GUUGUAUGGUUAAGUGACUAAGCGUACACGGUGGAUGCCUUGGCAGUUGGAGGCGAUGAAGGACGUAUUAACUUGCGAUAAGCCUAGUCAAGCUAGUAAAAAGCGCUUGAGACUAGGAUUUCCGAAUGGGGAAACCCACCUGCUUGCAGGUAUCGUUAACUGAAUACAUAGGUUAACGAGGCGAACGCGGAGAACUGAAACAUCUAAGUACCCGUAGGAAAAGAAAUCAACCGAGAUUCCGAAAGUAGCGGCGAGCGAAAUCGGAACAGCCCUUAAGCUUAUUAUGUGUUAAUGGAAGGCUGCUGGAAAGCGCCACGAUACAGGGUGAUAGUCCCGUACAUGAAAAGACAUUUUAAGUGAAAUCGAGUAGGUCGGAGCACGUGAAACUUUGACUGAAUAUAGGUGGACCAUCAUCUAAGGCUAAAUACUCCCAACUGACCGAUAGUGAACCAGUACCGUGAGGGAAAGGCGAAAAGAACCCCUGUGAGGGGAGUGAAAUAGAACCUGAAACCGUGUACGUACAAGCAGUAGGAGCCCACUUGUUGGGUGACUGCGUACCUUUUGUAUAAUGGGUCAGCGACUUAUAUUUUGUAGCGAGGUUAACCGAAUAGGGUAGCCGUAGGGAAACCGAGUCUUAACUGGGCGAAUAGUUGCAAGGUAUAGACCCGAAAACCCGGUGAUCUAGCCAUGGGCAGGUUGAAGGUUGAGUAACAUCAACUGGAGGACCGAACCCACUAACGUUGAAAAGUUAGGGGAUGACCUGUGGCUAGGAGUGAAAGGCUAAUCAAACCGGGAGAUAGCUGGUUCUCCCCGAAAUCUAUUUAGGUAGAGCCUCGGACGAAUACUUACGGGGGUAGAGGCACUGUUAAGGCUAGGGGGUCAUCCCGACUUACCAACCCUUUGCAAACUCCGAAUACCGUAAAGUAAUAUCCGGGAGACACACGGCGGGUGCUAACGUCCGUCGUGAAGAGGGAAACAACCCAGACCGCCAGCUAAGGUCCCAAAGUCAUAGUUAAGUGGGAAACGAUGUGGAAAGGCCCAGACAGCCAGGAGGUUGGCUUAGAAGCAGCCAUCCUUUAAAGAAAGCGUAAUAGCUCACUGGUCGAGUCGGUCUGCGCGGAAGAUGUAACGGGGCUAAACUAUGCACCGAAGCUGCGGAUUCAGAAUUUAUUCUGGAGUGGUAGGGGAGCGUUCUGUAAGCGGUUGAAGGUGUACCGGGAGGUAUGCUGGACGUAUCAGAAGUGCGAAUGCUGACAUGAGUAACGAUAAUGGGAGUGAAAAACUCCCACGCCGGAAGACCAAGGGUUCCUAUCCCAUGUUAAUCAGGGUAGGGUAAGUCGACCCCUAAGGCGAGGCCGAAAGGCGUAGUCGAUGGGAAACAGAUUAAUAUUUCUGUACUCGAUAUAAUUGCGAUGGGGGGACGGAGCAGGCUAAGCAAGCAUAGCGUUGGUAGUCUAUGUGAAAGUGAGUAGGGCGUUUGUUUAGGUAAAUCCGGACGAACAUUAAACCUGAGACACGAGACGAGUCACUACGGUGAUGAAGUUGCUGAUGCCAUACUUCCAGGAAAAGCCUCUAAGCUUCAGAUUAUAUGGAAUCGUACCCCAAACCGACACAGGUGGUCAGGUAGAGAAUACUAAGGCGCUUGAGAGAACUCGGGUGAAGGAACUAGGCAAAAUCGUACCGUAACUUCGGGAGAAGGUACGCUCCUAUCUGUGAUGAGACUUGCUCUCUAAGCGGACGGGAGCCGCAGUGACCAGGUGGCUGGGACUGUUUAUUAAAAACACAGCACUGUGCAAAAUCGCAAGAUGACGUAUACGGUGUGACACCUGCCCGGUGCCGGAAGGUUAAUUGAUGGGGUUAUCCUUAGGGAGAAGCUCUUGAUCGAAGCCCCGGUAAACGGCGGCCGUAACUAUAACGGUCCUAAGGUAGCGAAAUUCCUUGUCGGGUAAGUUCCGACCUGCACGAAUGGUGUAACCAUGGCCACGCUGUCUCCACCCGAGACUCAGUGAAAUUGAAAUCGCAGUGAAGAUGCUGUGUACCCGCGGCUAGACGGAAAGACCCCGUGAACCUUUACUACAGCUUGGCACUGAACAUUGAACCUACAUGUGUAGGAUAGGUGGGAGACUUUGAAGAUGAGACGCUAGUUUUGUUGGAGUCAACCUUGAAAUACCACCCUUGUAGUUUUGAUGUUCUAACGUUGGCCCCUGAAUCGGGGUUACGGACAGUGCCUGGUGGGUAGUUUGACUGGGGCGGUCUCCUCCUAAAGAGUAACGGAGGAGCACGAAGGUUGGCUAAGUACGGUCGGACAUCGUACGGUUAGUGUAAUGGUAGAAGCCAGCUUAACUGCGAGACAGACACGUCGAGCAGGUACGAAAGUAGGUCAUAGUGAUCCGGUGGUUCUGAAUGGAAGGGCCAUCGCUCAACGGAUAAAAGGUACUCCGGGGAUAACAGGCUGAUACCGCCCAAGAGUUCAUAUCGACGGCGGUGUUUGGCACCUCGAUGUCGGCUCAUCACAUCCUGGGGCUGAAGUCGGUCCCAAGGGUAUGGCUGUUCGCCAUUUAAAGUGGUACGCGAGCUGGGUUUAGAACGUCGUGAGACAGUUCGGUCCCUAUCUGCCGUGGGCGUUUGAGAAUUGAGAGGGGUUGCUCCUAGUACGAGAGGACCGGAGUGAACGAACCGCUGGUGUUCGGGUUGUCAUGCCAAUGGCAUUGCCCGGUAGCUACGUUCGGAACUGAUAAGCGCUGAAAGCAUCUAAGCGCGAAGCAGGCCUCGAGAUGAGUUCUCACUAGACUUUUAAAGUCUCUGAAGGGCCGUUGAAGACUACAACGUUGAUAGGCAAGAUGUGGAAGUGGUGUGAGCCAUUAAGCUAACUUGUACUAAUUACCCGUGAGGCUUAACCAUACAACGCCAAACGCGUUU
rnacentral:rRNA from 1 species